rnacentral:tRNA from 1 species
GGGCAGGUGGCGGAAUGGUAUACGCGCAUGACUUAAAAUCAUGUGCCCGAAAGGGCUUGAGGGUCCGAGUCCCUCCCUGCCCACAA